GCCCAGGCUGGUCUCGAACUCUUGGCUUCAAAAUACCCUCACCUGGGCCUCCCAAAGUGCUGGGAUUACAGCACUUGGCUCCAGCUUGACCUUUGUUGGUAGAACUACUCAGAAAAUAUGGCUAAUUUAGAAAUUGGGUGGUGUCAAGUGAACCCUACCCAAAUCUUCUAUCCCCACAUCAGUUCUCAUCCACCUUUUUCGCGUGUUGGAGAACUGGCAAGGCAGGGGCUGCGGCUCGCCCUCCCUCACGCGGCUCAGGCUCUGAGGGCGCGAGGCCCAGGGCUCUCGCGCUGCGGCCGCCACCCGCCCCGAGGCCCCGGUCCCCUCCUCUCGCCGCCGCACCAGGGUAGCGCUGCCACGAGCCGGGCUUUCCGGGGGCCAGGACGAACGAGGACCGAGAUGCUCCACGGCAGGGACUGCAGGCAACAGACCACGGGUAAGUGGCGGUUACGGGACUCUCCGGCCCGGGAACGGACGUUUUAGCUCUCAGGGAUUCGAUACCACAGGUUGUUUCCAGACCAUAUGCCGGUCGCUUCCGGCAAUUGGAAAGACCAAUCGUCAGGCCCGACAAUGCAAGACCUGCCCACUUUGCGACGGAGGCAGCCACUCCAGUUCCUCCUUACUUCUAUUGUCGGGGGCGCCCUUACGAAAGGUCCUGUCCAAUCGUUACCGGGAACGCCCUCCUAGUCCCGCCUCAGGGCCAUCGCAGAGCCUGUAAAUUCAGCUUGACCCCUUCACCCCAUUGGCGUAUUUCCUUCCGACGCCAUGACGUGCACAGCGGCCGGCCGGGGCGGGCCAAUGAGCGGGAACGUGGUGUGCGGCUGGCGUCCGCCGCAGUCGCUCCUGGGUCCUAGGGGCCGGAGCCGCCCUGAACGCAGCGUAUCGAGGGCUCUUGCCGAAGAGGCGCCGCCGCGGAGCCCGCAGUCAGACGCCCCCUCAGUGGCGCCCGCCUAAGCCGUGGGCGCACCCGAGGGGCAGGCUCGCCUUCCGUCGGCCCUCGCAGCUCGGCUGGGCUCGGAGUCUGCGCCGCCGUCGCCUUCCCGCUCGGGCCGAGAACCGCAGUCGCGGAGCCGCGCAGCCCUCGAAGCCCGCCUGCACUAGGCGAAGCUGAAGCCACAGAAGACACCGCAGUGGAAAAACCAGCAUGAGCCGCUGCCCCAAGGAACCUCAAAGCGCAGGCAGAGGACCAGCCAUCCCAGCCGCACAGGGUCUCCUGAGAACACAGACCAGAAUUACUGAGGUAAUCUUGGCACAUUUUCUUAACCAUUUUAUGUGACUUUCAAAUUCCUUAUAUGUAGCUGGGAAAAAAGGCUUUGCUAGAUGAUCUUUUUCAGCCUUUGUGAAGAUAAAGAUUAAGAAAAAAGUUUAAACCCGAGGCACUGAUAAGGAAAAUAAAGAAAACCUAAACAAAGUUUCAGUUCUCAGCCCCUGAGCAGCCACUUGGUGGGCGUUUCCUUCAGUCCCCAGUGAGCACCUACUGUGUGCUCUGUAUGGCGCAGCGCAGGGAGGAGCAGGCCAAGAAACAAGCCUUGGGUCAGGGCCACAGAGGGCAGUGAGCUCUCAGGACAGGGCGGGAAGGGAAGGCAGAAAGGCCCUGGGCACGGGCUGGGCUGUCAGCUCCCGAGGGGCGCACUGAGCCUGCAUCCAUGGGAAGUGUGAGGCACAGGCAGCCUGGACUGCAGCCUCAGAGCGGAGCAGAACCUGGGGUGGAAGAGGCCAGCUGGGGCGAGUGGGCACCAGGAGAGCUCAGGCUGGCCAUUAUUUGUGGCUGCCAUUUCCAUUUCCAAAAAAGUAUGAUUAUUUCAGUUAACGGAGAAAAAGCACUGACAAAAUUCAACACCCUUUCAUGAUUAAAAACACUCAACAAAGAAUAGAGAAAACUACCUCAACAUAAUAAAAGUAUAUAUGAAAAACCCACAUCACACUCAAUGGUGAAAAACUGAAAGCUUUUCCUCUAAAAUCAGGAACAAGACAAGGAUGCCUGCACUCAUUACUUCUAUUCAACACAAUGCUGGAAGUUCUAGUCGGCACACUUAGUCAAGAAAAAGAAAUAAAAGGCAUCAAAAUUGAAAAGAAAGAAGUAAAAUUAUCUCUAUUUGCAGAUAGGAUUUUAUAAGUAGAAAUGCCUGAAGAGUGCGUGCACGCACACACACACACUGACACUCACACUCAGGAACUAAUAAACGAGGCCAGGCACUGUGGCUCAUGCCUAUAAUCCUAGCACUUUGGGAGGCAGAGGUGGGCGGAUCACUUGAGGUC